CCCUAGUCAAAUUAAGAAUGAAGUUACACAUUUCAUGUGAGGGUUCUCAGUGUUGACAGGCUAGUGAUACAGUAGUUGAACUACUUAUAGGACCACUCUACCACCAUAAGUCGGUCAGUACGAAAUAUUUUAUUGAAAUGUGUUAGAUUUUUGUUAUCAAUCUAUUUUUUAAUUUUAAUUGUACUAUUUUAUUUAUUUUGUUUGAUAUAAUAAGGAUGUGGAGUCCGAACAGGGUGAAAUUUGGGUCAAAGGGAGGCAAUUUAUUAUACCCCUGUUUAACUCCACAUACUUGAAAUUCCCUCAAUGUUAGGAUUUUCAUCUACUUGGAUAUUCAUGUUUGUACAUUUUUUUUUUGAUAUCAGAUGUAUACUAGCUAAUAUUGACUAUUAUUUAGAGCUCUGUAAUAAAAAAAAAUAAAUGUAAGCAGAGCUCUAGAUAAUAAGUAUGCAGGGUGGGAGAAAUCUUGGGUCAUUAACAAUUAUUUGCUGAAAUUUUCAAGAAAGGAGAUUUAUUGGAAAUGCAUCUGAUAUAUUUAAUGUAUAAAACUAUAUUUUAAAAAAAAAAGAUGUUAAGAUGAUGAGGAGAGCCACCUUGUCAGCCUGGAGAGCAGCUCUAAGGGAGAUGGUCAAUUUAAUCUUCACCAAGUCAGAGGCUUUACCAUGAAAAAUAUGUGGUUGUUAUAAUGAUGAUGUUUUCAUGGUGUUGGGAGUAAGACUUGGAUGUCUGAUAUUGUUAACAUGUUGGUUAGCAUCAGGUUUCCAUUGGGUUACUUGCUGGGAUAAAGCUGUUAUAAGUCGAAAGAGUUGCUGUUGCUGCCUUCCUUGUAUGGUAAAAUCCUCAGACUACAAUCCUGCAAACCAUUGGAUGAACUGUUGCUAUCUUUUGUAAAAAAAUUGGCAGAUAUUUGUCUUAUAAGCAGAAUGAAUUAUAAAUGCAAUUAAUUUUUAAUGCUUUAUUAUUCAAAUUAUAAAUAUUUAUUUCAUUAUUUUUUCUUGCAUUCAAUUAUUGUUUUGUGAUUGAAGAAAUAUAAAAAAAAACUGUGAAAUUAUUGUUAUUUGAGAGGUCCCAAAGGUAUGAUGUAUGGUUUCACAAGAUACUGGUUAGAAACCUAUUAAGUAGGACUUUGAUGGCCAAACACUAAAAGGGAAUAAAACAAAUCCCCUAUUAAACAAUUUAAGUACUGAGUUUUUGGUGCAAUAUGAACUAGAAAUAAAAAUGUUUACUAAUAGUUAGAUGGUUUGUUUUGACUCUGCAUUCUUUACAUUCAUACAAAUUAAUGGCUGUCAGUUUUAUUUAUUGGUUUUGUUUAUAUAUUAUAAAUGCAUUAUUCAGCAUCUGAGGCCACUCAAGUGAAAAUAAUUACAUAGUUUUUGCAGUUUGUCAUAUUUUUUCAUUUUUGUGUGAUUGAUUUCUAUAUUUUUUCUCAUUUAUGAUUAUUUAUAUUUUAAUGUUUGAUUUUUGAGGCUUAAUUGUACUCAGCUUCUAAACAAUUACCUCCCCCCUCCACAUGUAUAACCAGGAUCCUGUAAAAGAAGUUUUGAUUUUGAAGGAUUGAUGGAUAAUUAAAAAUGCAAGAUUUUUUUAAUGUGCUAGUUCAUAAUGUAAAAGUCUGCACAAGACAUCUAACCCUACCUGAACACAUUAUUCUGACUUCCAGCUGACCAGUCUUUGCUCCUACUCCUAAUUGCCGAAUGCUUAUCAGGGGAGCAUCAAAUACCAAUUUUCAAUUCUUUGAUAUGACCCAGGGCAGGACCAAAUCCCAUGCCCAUCUGCACUCAUGUUGAGCAUAAAAAGGUUAUUAAAGAAGAUUUGUCUGUCUGUCUGUCUGUCUGUCCAUCAUCAUCUCUCAUCCACAGCUUAUAAACUAUUGGAAGGUUUUCAUUUAAACUUUCAGAUUAUCUUCUGUAUCUAAUGGCUGUGUGUAUUUUAUUUUAUUAUAAUGAAAUUUUGGGGUUCUCAAUUGUAAUGAAUGGACCUCCUAAGUUUUUGAAAAAAAGGGAAAGAAGCUUCUCAUACCACCAUUUUAUCAUGUGAAGGAUAGGUUGGUUCAAAUAUAUUUGUUUUUAAUUAUGUUUUUAGUAGUUGGAUCUCAUUAUGACAAAAUUUUAAUGACUUAAAUUCAAAAUAAAUUUGGGGUUCACACUGAUAUAUAUUACCACUGUAGCUUUAAUGUAAAUUUUAUAAGGCUUUGCUAUAACAAGAUUUGUGUUUUAUCUGGUUUUAUCUGAUUUUAGUGGUUUUUAUGUGAUUUUAGUGGUUUUUACUGUCAAAUCUUGUUACAACAAGCCUUAGUAUGAUUGAGUUUAUAUAUUUUGAUUAUACAUGCAAUUCAAAAUAUAAAUUUACAUAAUGAGAUCAGACAUUUAUUAUGCUUUUAACUCUUCUUAGUGGAUAAAAAAGAAAAAUGAAUGAACAUAAAUAUUGAAGUGGUCAUUGAAGAUUGACCAAAUUACAAGAUUUAUAAAUGCAGAAUCUUGCUCUAACUAAAUCUAUGUUCUUAUCUUAUCAGCUGAACCAACCUAUCCUUCAAUAUGAGUAAUAAAAUUUUAUAAAUGGAAAAGUCCAUUCUUCGAUUGGGCAACCUUUGGAUGUGAAAAAAAUGUGCACAAUGCCAACAGAUACUGAAGAUUAUUUGAAAGUUUAGGCAAAAACAAUUCAAUCCUUUUAAUUGUGAUUGGAAGUUGUAGACAGAUGAGCAAACAGAUGAUAUACUUGCUGACUAUGGCACAUUUCCUAAAGGAUAUGGACUAUGGGUAUGGGUUUUGCUCAUGGUUGAAGGCUGUAGGUGACUGAUAGUUGUUAAAUUCUAUGUCAUUUGGUCUCUGGUGCAGAGUUGUCUCGUUGGCAAUCAUAUCUCCUCUUUUUAUUUUAUAUGAAAUAAUUACUUAUUACUUCCUGGGCAAAAAGUUCUGGUUCCAAGAAAAUAAUAAAAAAAAAUAUUUAUAUCAUACAUGUAUUGUUAAAUAACUAUCCUACUUUGAUAUAAAGAAUUGACUUUGGUUAGAAAUUGGGAGGAAUUAUAAAGAAACUUAUAUACAAUAUAAGAGCUUGGGGUUAUAAAUGUUUAAUGAAAUGCAGUUAACUAUUUCCUUGGUGAUAUAAUAAUUUUUGCAUGGAUCACGAUAUUAGUUUAUUUAAAUAACCCAGUAAAUAAAUUGAGUACACCUCAUAAAUGAAUUUGAUUCAUGUAUUUUUAUGCAUUUUUUAUCUUAGUAUUUACCAUUGUAUUCCUUGUUAUAUUUGUAAAUGCCUCUUUGUAUGUGACAAACUGAGGAUUCAUAUAUUUUAUGGAAUUAUAUAAAUUUAUUUUAAGUUUGGUAUUUAAAAGUAUUGGAAAGCACCAAGUUUAAUAUUGAGCAAAAAAAAGAUUCCUUUAAGACCUCAGGAUAUUAAAAUUGAUUUUCUAAAUUCUAUUUAAACAGCUAGUCUGGGAACUGGUAUCAAGAAACUAAAAAGAAUCCUCAGCGCUUUCAGUUAUUUUGUAUAAUUGUAAUAUUUAACCAAUGAUACCUUACCCAUGAUGCAGAUCCUUUUCUUCCUUUUACUUAUAAAGGGACUAAAAACUUAUUAUUAUUACAAUUUCUUUGGUAUUUGUACACACUUGAUGGAGCAGAAUGGGUCUGGUUUCAUUUGGGUAUUUUAUAUUAUGAUGCAUGAUAAUGAUAUAAAUAAAUAGGUAAAUAAAAAUUUAAUUGAGAAAA